GGGGGGGGCAAGCGUUGUUCGGAAUUACUGGGCGUAAAGGGCUCGUAGGCGGCCAACUAAGUCGGAUGUGAAAUCCCCAGGCUUAACCUGGGAACUGCAUCCGAUACUGGAUGGCUUGAAUCCGGGAGAGGGAUGCGGAAUUCCAGGUGUAGCGGUGAAAUGCGUAGAUAUCUGGAGGAACACCGGUGGCGAAGGCGGCAUCCUGGACCGGCAUUGACGCUGAGGAGCGAAAGCCAGGGGAGCAAACGGGAUUAGAUACCCCGGUAGUCCUGGCCCUAAACGAUGAAUGCUUGGUGUGGCGGGUAUCGAUCCCUGCCGUGCCGAAGCUAACGCAUUAAGCAUUCCGCCUGGGGAGUACGGUCGCAAGGCUG
rnacentral:rRNA from 1 species